GGGGAACGAGUUUAGUAUAUUAAAAUCACCAGGGUCUGUUGUUUUCCGAAAUGGAAAUUGGCCUAUACCAGGAGAGCGGAUCCCAGACGUGGCUGCAUUGUCCAUGGGCUUCUCUGUGAAAGAAGACCUUUCUUGGCCAGGACUCGCAGUGGGUAACCUGUUUCAUCGUCCUCGGGCUACCGUCAUGGUGAUGGUGAAGGGAGUGAACAAACUGGCUCUACCCCCAGGCAGUGUCAUUUCGUACCCUUUGGAGAAUGUGAGUAUUUAUUAUAAAAAAUUAAAGGGAUGCAUUUUACAUUUUCCCUUGUCAGCUGUCAUUAUG
rnacentral:lncRNA from 1 species